rnacentral:rRNA from 1 species
AUUGAACGCUGGCGGCAGGCCUAACACAUGCAAGUCGAACGAGUGGCGGACGGGUGAGUAAUGUCUGGGAAACUGCCCGAUGGAGGGGGAUAACUACUGGAAACGGUAGCUAAUACCGCAUACCAUCGGAUGUGCCCAGAUGGGAUUAGCUGGUGGGUGAGGUAACGGCUCACCUAGGCGACGAUCCGUAACUGGUCUGAGAGGAUGAUCAGUCACACUGGAACUGAGACACGGUCCAGACUCCUACGGGAGGCAGCAGUGGGGAAUAUUGGACAAUGGGCGAAAGCCUGAUCCAGCCAUGCCGCGUGUGUGAAGAAGGCCUUCGGAUCGUAAAACUCUGUUAGUAGGGAAGCGGUACCUAAUCAGAAAGCCCCGGCUAACUACGUGCCAGCAGCCGCGGUAAUAC